UACUAAGCCGAGAUAAGCUUGGUGCUAUCUCUUCUUCUUAAUUUUUUUAUUUCUUUUGUGAUAGUAUUGAUUUUAGUGAAGAGAAUCGAUUUAAUGAAUCAAUGUUUGAUUUACAAAGUUGUUUAUGGAUCAUUUUUUAUCAAUUGUUGUGAAAGAUUGAUGAUGUAUUGAAGUUUUUAGUCAUUGUUUAUCACAAGGUUAUAAGUUCAAUAGAGACGAAUUAUAAUCAAAGGAAUUAUCUCGAUCAGAUUCUGUGGAUUGGAAGUUAUUCGUUCUAAGGUUUGGAUUAUGCUUGUGUGUUCAUGAAUUACAGAGGGUACUAAAAUUGAUGUCGUGGUUGUUAUCGUAUUGAUAUGAGAGAGUGGACAGUAGAAAAAAAAAGUUAAGUGUUCUUCGAAAUUGUAAGCAUUC
rnacentral:lncRNA from 1 species